UAGCUCAGUUGGUAGAGCAUCUGACUUUUAAUCAGAGGGUCACAGGUUCGAUCCCU
rnacentral:tRNA from 1 species